GAGAUCCACUCCACCAGAGUUUUCUACAGGAGCCCAGGAUACGGAAACCAUGGACAUUUCCACAAUCACAGAAAUGUUUCUUAAGGUGAAAAAGGAGUUCUUCAAAUAAUGAUUAAAAUGUAAUUUCUUAAGGCCUUGAAUGGAGCAGUGAUGCUGAAAUCAGCAUGAAUUUCAAAGUUUUUAAAGGUGUAAAGAGAGACACAACAUAUGAUAUAAGAGAACUGUAAAGUGAAAAGGAGAUGAAGAAGUUUCCUCUGUGCAGACCUCUCAUACAGGUCAAUUCUGCAGGCUCAAUACAAUGACCAAAGGACAAAGAAAGCCAAGUGGUGGAGUUCUGACAUACAUCCUGCUGACACCAUCUCUCACCCUUCUAUGAUUUGGCUUUGGUCUUGUCAACCUAUACAAGCUAUAGCUGCCACAAAGAACCAUAGUUUCUUUCUAGAUCGCCAGUGCCU